UACGGAGGGUGCGAGCGUUGUCCGGAAUCAUUGGGCGUAAAGGGCGCGUAGGUGGCCUGGUCAGCGUGCGGUGAAAGCGCGGGGCUCAACCCUGCGUCGGCCAGGGAUACUGCCGCGGCUCGAGCACUGUAGAGGCAGGCGGAAUUCCGGGUGUAGCGGUGGAAUGCGUAGAGAUCCGGAAGAACACCGGUGGCGAAGGCGGCCUGCUGGGCAGUUUAGCUGACACUGAGGCGCGACAGCGUGGGGAGCAAACAGG
rnacentral:rRNA from 1 species